AAAACGACUCUCGGCAACGGAUAUCUCGGCUCUCGCAUCGAUGAAGAACGUAGCGAAAUGCGAUACUUGGUGUGAAUUGCAGAAUCCCGUGAACCAUCGAGUCUUUGAACGCAAGUUGCGCCCGAAGCCUUUAGGCCGAGGGCGCGCCUGCCUGGGCGUCACA
rnacentral:rRNA from 1 species